GCCUACGGGAGGCAGCAGUGGGGAAUAUUGCACAAUGGGGGAAACCCUGAUGCAGCGACGCCGCGUGAGCGAUGAAGUAUUUCGGUAUGUAAAGCUCCAUCAGCAGGGAAGAACAAUGACGGUACCUGACUAAGAAGCGCCGGCUAAAUACGUGCCAGCAGCCGCGGUAAUACGUAUGGUGCAAGCGUUAUCCGGAUUUACUGGGCGUAAAGGGAGCGCAGGCGGCGCGUUAAGCCUGGUGUGAAAGCCCGCGGCCCAACCGCGGGACUGCAUUGGGAACUGGCGCGCUGGAGUGCCGGAGGGGG
rnacentral:rRNA from 1 species